UCUGGNUUAACUGGGGGCUUGCGGUGGGUACGGGCCGGCUUGAGUGCGGUAGGGGAGACCGGAACUCCUGGUGUAGCGGUGGAAUGCGCAGAUAUCAGGAAGAACACCGGUGGCGAAGGCGGGUCUCUGGGCCGUUACUGACGCUGAGGAGCGAAAGCGUGGGGAGCGAACAGGAUUAGAUACCCUGGUAGUCCACGCCGUAAACGUUGGGCACUAGGUGUGGGGGGCCUUUUCCGGGUCUUCCGCGCCGUAGCUAACGCAUUAAGUGCCCCGCCUGGGGAGUACGGCCGCAAGGCUAAAACUCAAAGGAAUUGACGGGGGCCCGCACAAGCGGCGGAGCAUGCGGAUUAAUUCGAUGCAACGCGAAGAACCUUACCAAGGCUUGACAUGUGCCGGUCUGCUCCGGAGACGGGGUUUCCUCCCUUGUGGGGGCUGGUUCACAGGUGGUGCAUGGUUGUCGUCAGCUCGUGUCGUGAGAUGUUGGGUUAAGUCCCGCAACGAGCGCAACCCUUGUCUCGUGUUGCCAGCACGUUGUGGUGGGGACUCGCGGGAGACUGCCGGGGUCAACUCGGAGGAAGGUGGGGAUGACGUCAAAUCAUCAUGCCCCUUAUGUCUUGGGCUUCACGCAUGCUACAAUGGUCGGUACAGAGGGCUGCGAUGCCGUGAGGUGGAGCGAAUCCCUUAAAGCCGGUCUCAGUUCGGAUCGGUAUCUGCAACUCGACACCGUGAAGUUGGAGUCGCUAGUAAUCGCAGAUCAGCAACGCUGCGGUGAAUACGUUCUCGGGCCUUGUACACACCGCCCGUCACGUCAUGAAAGUCGGCAACACCCGAAGCCCGUGGCCCU
rnacentral:rRNA from 1 species